rnacentral:tRNA from 1 species
GUCCAGGGGCGGGAAUCGAACCCACAAUCUUCUGCUUACCGGGCAGGUGCCAUGUCCACUAGGCUACCCUAGA